UUGAAAAUUAGAAAUAUUACAUGUAUUUUCUAUAAAUUGAGUCAAAGUGGUUUCCACAAAAAACGUAAUGACAAAAAUUUAGGGCAGAGAAAAGACCACAAGGGACCCCAUGUGGCUUAGUACUCUCUCCAUCACAAAUUAACAUCAUAAAUUAACUGUUGUUUUUUCCAUACAAAAUGUUUGACUCGAUUUAUAAAAGAUACAUAUAAUAUUUGUAUCUUUAAAUUAAUUUGUUAAAAAACUAGAUUAAAAUAUCUUUCCAAUAAUGCUUAUAUAAUAUAAAUAUUAAUAUUUUAUAAUGUAUAUUUUAAUCAAAUUUAUUUCUUAGGAAGCAUAAACAAUAAUUAUUUUGGAACGGAAUACAUCUACCCCUACAUUCAACACACUCACCACGCACAACAGCCCGCAGUGGCUCUGUCGCGCCAAGAUCUAUGGCAUGUGGCGCGACAAAUCCUACCACGUUAGCCAUGCACGACCGGUCACACGACACGUCAGCGGCUUUGCCGUGCCAUCAUGCAUAGCGUGGCAGAGUGCAAGAGUCGCACUGUGUAUGGUGACGUGGCCAAAAGGUUAGAUUUAAAAAAAUAAUUUUAGGUGUCAAAUUUAAAAUAGUUUUUAAAAAGGCUAAAAAUAAAAAAAAAAUCCCCCGGCUUGGGCCCUCUCCCUUAUCACUUAUUUGGAUUGUUAUCCAUGGCGAUCUCAUUAAGAAAUUUUGCUUUCAACCAUGAGUGUCUCAUCUAAUUAAUACUCUCUUUGUUCCUCAAUAAUUAAAUUCUGGGAGUUAUCUUAAGUAAAUAUUUUUUAUGGCUGAUGACCGAUUUUAUAGUGAAUAAGGAUUAUUUAUGUAUGUUUUUAGGGAAUAACGAUAUUUUUUAUGUCAGACGUGCAUGCAGAGUUAGGACAGAGGUAGCUGAGAAUUGUACUAUGUGGUUUUGAGCGUGUCAUCCACACUAAGAGAGAAUGUAAAAAUGUCGCCAUGAGCUCGCACAGCUAGCCAAGAGGACAAGACACUCAACUGUUCAUCAUUUUAGUUCGCCAAUUGCUUAGGAUUGUAACUCUGUUUCCGAGUCUCUUCUUGGAAAAGAAAAUUUAACCCUAGAGCAAUUUUGAUGCUUCGGCGGGGGCAAGGGCCGUUGAAGGGAACCUCUGAACCAAAUGC
rnacentral:lncRNA from 1 species